UAUCAAUAUAGUUCUUGCUGGCACAAGUUUCUCUUAAAAAAUUCGCAUAAAAUCGUAGUAAAAAUGAAAAAUUGAGGAACCAAACAUACAUGAGGAUAGCCAACUAUGAAAUUGGUUCUUAGAAGUGGUUGUUCAAGCACGGGUGCUCUUUUGAGAAUUUCGAUUCUACAAAUCUUGAGAAAUGGAUGAAACCUUCAUAUUCCUCUUUUCGUGCAAGAAUACGAAGACAACCAAUUUUGAAUGUAAAAUGAUUUGGAGAUGACGAAGCCAUGAAGAGAAAAAAUAAAGGUUUGGGGAUUGUUAAGGGAGAAGAAAUAUUAGAUUUAUGAUUUUGGGAAUUCAAUUGAUUUGAGAAGGGAGGAAUUACAUUUUUU
rnacentral:lncRNA from 1 species